CGCCGGUCCCCCCGCAACGCCAAACCGUGAAUCCGGUCAGGCCCGGAAGGGAGCAGCCGCAGCGGUGGCAGCGUGUGCCGGGGUGCGGCUGGCGGGG
rnacentral:SRP_RNA from 1 species